UGUUUACAUUAAAUUAUAAAAAUAGUAUCUUUUAUUCUUUUGUCUGCUUGUACAUUUCAGAAUGAAUGCACCAAACUGAUUUCAGCAUCUGCUCCGAUUGAGAUGAUGGUAGAGAAGAGACCAAGGUGAAAAGUAGGUGAAGAUUUUACCUUGCUUGGAUGAUUUAUUAAAAAAGUAUUCAUAGUAUUAUUAUAAAGUAAUAAAUAUAAUAAAAAACGUAAGUGUGAAUCAAGUACAAAUAUGAUAUAAAAUAUGUUGAUUCAUUGAUAAUGUGCAACAUUGAAGUCAAUUAAUGUAAAAGAUAUAACCUAUGUAUGUAGUACAGAGCUAGGUUUAAUCAAGGAUCUUUUUCUUGUGAUUUUAUGAAUCAUGUAUUUAUUUUAUUAACAAUGAAUUAGUGCUUUAAUAAUCACAUAUAGAGAAACCAAUGAAGGAAAAGAGACCCAGAAAUGGAUCAAUUAUGAUGACUGGUCACGUAGAGUCAUAUAUGGUGAGUGUGAGGUGUCUGUAACUCUUGUGUUCACAAGAAACAGAAUUUGGUUUAUCUUCUCUUGUAAAUGACCCCAUAGGUUGAUGUUAGGAAUAUACAAAAAUUAUAUUCUCAUUUUGAGUUCAUAGAUUUAGAUUUAUUAUUAUUAAUGAAUCAAUAGUCAAACCAUUAAGAAUGUAAUAAACAACUAAAGAGAAAAGAGUGAGAGACAUUGUCCAGCUCGGAAUAUAUGUCAUGAGGCAAUAAAAUGACAAUCAUACUUGUGAAGCCAUAAGUGGAAGUAGCAUAUGCCUUUUGCCUAAGAACCAUAUAGACAGUGAUGAGUAAGAGUCAAUAUUAUUUUGCUCUUGAUCAGUCUCAAUUUUAAAAUUAUCUGUUCUUCAGAGAAAAUAUGUUACAAUAUGAAAAAUUAAUCAAUGUCUAAGUGAAUAAAUAGAAUGUAGAACACAAGGAUCAGUGGAGGUAAAUUUGAAAACUUUUUAUCUUCUGCUCUGCUCUGUACUGCAUAGAGUGGACACACUCGAGCUGAUUUCAGGGUUCUUCCAUGAUCACACCAGGUGGCAAGGGUCAGUAUAUUUAUAUAUUGCCUAAUGAUGAUCACAAUGAAGUUUACUUUAGCCUUGGUUACCAUAUAUAGUUAUAAAAUCUGUUUUUUGGGGAAGAAAACUUUUACGAUUUAUUAUCUUACCCACUUUCCUUUGUUAAGAUAAAAAUUAUACAUUAAAAUAUAAGUACCUUAAUACUGAGUCAAUGAAACUCAGAAAGCAAGGCUUGGCCUCGGUUUUCCGUUACCAUCUUCCCUUCUCUGUCCUCUUCAGAACGCAGACACGCUAGAUGAUGUAUGCACCUUUCUCAGUCACAGACCCGUUGGUUCCCACUUUAGCGUAGGAGCUUGAGGAUUAAUGUGAGUUAGGGAUGAAAUUAUUUUCUCGGUUUCAGUGUGGUUGUUGUUGCUUUAAGUUUAUUCCCUGUAUUAUUAAGUGUGAAGUAUCAGUAAAGAAGGCAACUGUAUCUGUUAAAUAUGGACUAUAAGAACAAUUAUAUCCAGUAAUGCAUCAUGGGAACAGGUGAUAAUAAAGAGAUAUAUUGCUGUGAGAGUAAAUGUAUAUUAAGUUGAAAGAUACGAGGGCUCAUCUUGUUUUUAGUGAAUAAUAGGCUUUCAGAAUUAUUAUUAUUGGACUAACAUUUCAUCAAUAUACAAAUAUAAUGAGGAAAUGAGAGAGAAUAGUGAAUUGAUGAUGGCUACUGUUGGCCUAGGAGUUACAUGGGGCAAAUACAUGUCUGGAACUCUGAGUUCCAAUUGAAACUUACUAUAGUCCAUUCCCAUCUCCCAGGAAUCUUCUAGACAGUUGACAGGAAGAUCCUAAGAUCUUGUUUCCGGUCUUAUUGUUCAUGUAUUCUCAUCUAUUAUUAUAAUUGGAUAAAUUAUAGAAUCUAUAAAUAAACAUUAAAAACAGAUCAAUGAAGUAGUGUCCAAUUAUAAAAAUAUGUAAGGAGGCAGGAAAUUGUAUUCAUAUAUUAUGCAAAUCAUGAAGUUCAGUUAGAAACAAAUGACACAUUACUGUUACCUGUAUAGUUAAAGGAUAAAUCAUAGAAAAUGCUCAUAGUCUGGGUUAGUGGUCCAAUUAAAAUUUGUUUUCUUAGGAGAAAAAGUAUAUACCAAAUCAAUGAUUGCUCAAAUGACUGACCAUGUGAGAGGUGAAAAGCAAAUUUCAAUGAACAGAAGGUCUCAACCAUUUAUAUCAUCUGCUCUGCUUCAUACUCCUCAGGACAAGUGCACUGGGUCUGCUGUAAGGUUAUUCCUUGACCAUGAGCCAUAGAAUUGCACCUCUGCUUUAGGAGCCUGGAGACCAAUAACAGAUGCUCCAGCUGAUUUCAGCUCCGCCCUGGUGAUGUUUGCCUUGUUGCCGCCACCUUAGGCGAGAGAUCAAGAUCUGGAGGCAGCUGAAGUGCCCCUCAGUAGAGGGGUAGAUAAAAGAGUUGUGGGACAUUUACACCAUGGAAUACUAUACAGCUGUGAAAAAGAAGGAUCCCUCACCCUUUGAGACAGCAUGGAGGGACCUGGAGAUUAU